GCAUCCGUAGCUCAAUUGGAUAGAGUCCCUGAUUACGGAUCAGGAUGUUGGGGGUUCGAAUCCCUCCGGAUGUACCA
rnacentral:tRNA from 2 species